rnacentral:rRNA from 1 species
AACGAACGCUGGCGGCAGGCCUAACACAUGCAAGUCGAACGGGUGUAGCAAUACAUCAGUGGCGCACGGGAGAGUAACGCGUGGGAACCUACCUUUUGGUUCGGAAUAACGUCGGGAAACUGACGCUAAUACCGGAUAAGCCCUACGGGGGAAAGAUUUAUCGCCGAAAGAUGGGCCCGCGUUAGAUUAGCUUGUUGGUGAGGUAACGGCUCACCAAGGCUACGAUCUAUAGCUGGUCUAAGAGGAUGAUCAGCCUCACUGGGACUGAGACACGGCCCAGACUCCUACGGGAGGCAGCAGUGGGGAAUAUUGGACGAUGGGGGCAACCCUGAUCCAGCCAUGCCGCGUGAAUGAUGAAGGCCUUCGGGUUGUAAAGUUCUUUUGGCGGGGACGAUGAUGACGGUACCCGCAGAAUAAGCUCCGGCUAACUUCGUGCCAGCCGCCGCAGUAA